ensembl:lncRNA
GGUCGCCUUGCCUCGCUCUCCUUUCUGGUCAGAUUACGAUCAUGCCUAGGCGUCCAUGACAUCUGUGUACUCCUCUAUUGCUGUCUGCUUCCCCAGGCGCUCUUUGGCACAGGGUGUCCGGCCAGAAGGAGCCACCGGCGGGGAACUCGAUGCAGGCAACCGCCGUCAGCUCCUUGGAGCAGUUGCUUGCGCACGGGUGGCAGUGUUUGCCUCCUGGGUAGACCAGCUAAUGAGGCUCCAGAAACAGAGUAGAUGGCAUACGGACAUGGUUCAAAGCAGCAGAGAUUACAGUUUAUAAGAAGGGACUAGGACCUGCUCUCCUUGAGGCAGAAGAAAUCACUGGGAUAAAAUAUGAGUCUUUGUAGUUGCAAGUCUUAUCCUUUGGGAUUGUACAAGCAAAAUUCACUGUGGAGGCAAGGUGCUCAGUCGUGUCUGACUUUUGUGACCCCAUGGACUGUAGCCCACCAGGCUCCUCUGUCCAUGGAGUUCCCCAGAUUAAUAUAGGUGAUCUGAUUGCUCAGCAGAGGGAUAGAAGAUGGGGUUGAAGAGUAACAGAAACCUCCAAGUUCAAGUUCAGCUACAUCUAUCCAGCUACAAACUGUAUUUCCCAGCUUCCCUUGGAGACAGGUCUAGAUACAUGACUACAUUCCGCCUCAUGGAAUAUGAAGGUGGGUUAUGUGUGCAAGCCUACAAGCAAUCACAACUCCAGAAAGAAGUUGCUUACCAUUCAUUUCUUUUUUCUACUCUUGGCUCAAAUUGAAACAUAGAAAUUAUGGUGUGAAUUCACUGUAAUCAUAUAUAUAAAUACUAACUGAAGACAGGACAAAGCAGCAGGAUGGCAUCUGCAUCCUUGUAUGACUUCGUAGAGAACUACUCUGAUUGCCCCUCUGUCUGAGGCUGUUGCACAAGAGAGAAUAAUAUGCUUCCACUUUUGCUUGAAGAACUAUAUUGUAAGCUCUCUUAAAGCAGCACAGACUAUAUACUACCUAAUACAUAAUUAUUAUAUAUUGCAAGAAAUACAAUUUAAAAUUUAGGCAACUGAUUAUAUUUCUACUAUCAUUUAAAGAAUAUUUAUCUUUGUAGUUUAUAUGUUUCUACUUUUUCUUAAGUUUAUGAGUCUUAUAAUUACAGAUGACUUGCAAUGCUGGAUCACUUUCCCACAUCAUGUAUGUGAUAUUGAGGGCUGCAUUUGAUGCACCCCCAGAAUAGAAAAGUAUGCACUUCAAAUUACAUGUAAUUAGAAUCAAUAAAAUACUGAAAUUAUUACCUUCAGAAGUAACAUUCUAAAAUAUGAUUUGUGGAGGUAUUGCUGAUGAAAAUUUGGUUUCCCUGAAAUCUUAUUAAGAACACUAAAAUGUAACUAGUGAAUUUAUGAUCUAAUUAAUUGUUAUGUAUCAAAUAGAACUUUGGUGCUUAAAAAGGAUAUAAAUAUUUUAAAGAGACAGCAGCACGAAUUUGUCCUGUAGAAUGGUAUGGUCUUGCAGAGUGGCAGGUAAAGGCAAAUGUCACAGUGGCACCUGGUACAGACACAGAAACAAACUUUAUUAGGGAAAUUUAUAAUUAGAGGAACAGUAAGAUGAAGCAUGUUGUCCCUUUACAUUCUUAUUUUUCCUUGGAGAGACAUACACAGUGAAACUGAAAUAGGAAAUUGCAAAGAAUGCUACUGUAUGAAUGGGACUCUGUCACCACCAUAUUCUAACUUUUUAUAGGACUGGGUGAAGAAGAGCCUCGCAGAUGUUGGGUGAGGGAUGGAAAAGUUUGUAGAUUAGCUGUCAGCUGUACAGGGGAAGGUUUCACCCAAAGACUGGAACACUGUUCAAAACUGUUGUUUACACAGCAAAGAUAAAUCUGGAUGGUCUGUGGGUGACUGAUACCUUUGUAGUCCAUUCUAGUAGGGUGAAGGGGAGGUUUUUCUUUUUUAAUUUAUUUACCUACUUAAGAUGAUACCUAUUCAUUCCAUAUUCUGAAAUAUGCAUAUAUUAGCACAUGUAUACAUAUGCUCUCAACUUCUAUCAUC